rfam:Gasterosteus aculeatus cont1.003649, whole genome shotgun sequence.
CAAAGGGCUCUUUUAAGAGCCACCCACAUUAUUAUUGAGCAAAUUU